rnacentral:misc_RNA from 1 species
GACCAUAUUGAUCAUUUUCUCUAAGAGAUCAACUGAAAACAUUCCUUAGUAUUUCAUAUAUAUUGGGCAAUAAUUACUUGGAUUUCCUGGACAAAUCCAUUUUGAUGGCACCCUAAGAUAUGAGCAUGUCAAACUCUACAACUAGUUGAUUUAUAAGUACUUUCUCACACUUCACAUCCAACCUUCUGAAAAACGAGGUAGAUUGGCAUCAGCGACUCACAUAACCUUGAAAUACUUGUUGAAGUUGAGGAUUUUUCACAAGUCCAUGGCAAUGUCGCUACCAUUUGGAUUUGGAUUAGCAUUCAAAGGGGUUUCAGAGCCAGCAUGUUGAUUAUGAGAAGCUCCAAAAGUGAAUCCCUGUGGAGGAACUUCAAAAGCAGGAGGGGAGAAAACAGAAGGAGCACUAGUAUUGUUGAAGGCUGGAGCAGGAAUAUGAUCACCGGUCUUUGGGAAGCCAAAGUUGAAGGAUGUCAUGGGAGAAGAGAAGGCUAGCAUGACGGGGCUGGG